AUUGAACGCUGGCGGCAGGCCUAACACAUGCAAGUCGAACGGUAACAGGAAGCAGCUUGCUGCUUUGCUGACGAGUGGCGGACGGGUGAGUAAUGUCUGGGAAACUGCCCGAUGGAGGGGGAUAACUACUGGAAACGGUAGCUAAUACCGCAUAACGUCGCAAGACCAAAGAGGGGGACCUUAGGGCCUCUUGCCAUCGGAUGUGCCCAGAUGGGAUUAGCUAGUAGGUGGGGUAACGGCUCACCUAGGCGACGAUCCCUAGCUGGUCUGAGAGGAUGACCACCCACACUGGCCCUGAGACACGUCCCGCCCCCUGCGGGGAGCAGCCAGGGGGGAAUUUUGCACAAAGGGCGAAACCCUGAUCCACCCUUCCGGCGUGAAUGAGGAAGUCUUUCGGUUUUUAAAUCCCUUCCGCCGGGGGGGAAGGAAAUAACUUUAAUCCCUUUCCUCUUUCACUUCCCCCGAAAAAAAACCCCCGCCCACCCCGCGC
rnacentral:rRNA from 1 species